AAUUUUGGACAAUGGGGGCAACCCUGAUCCAGCCAUGUCGCGUGUGUGAAGAAGGCCUUCGGGUUGUAAAGCACUUUCGGCCGGAACGAAAUCGCGCGGGUGAAUAUCCCGCGUGGAUGACGGUACCGGAAGAAAAAGCACCGGCUAACUCUGUGCCAGCAGCCGCGGUAAUACAGAGGGUGCGAGCGUUAAUCGGAAUUACUGGGCGUAAAGCGUGCGUAGACGGUUAUUUAAGUCGGAUGUGAAAGCCCCGGGCUCAACCUGGGAAUUGCAUUCGAGACUGAAUAGCUAGGGUGCGGUAGAGGGAAGCGGAAUUUCCGGUGUAGCGGUGAAAUGCGUAGAUAUCGGAAGGAACAUCAGUGGCGAAAGCGGCUUCCUGGACCAGCACCGACGUUCAGGCACGAAAGCGUGGGGAGCAAAC
rnacentral:rRNA from 1 species